UUAUAUAUAAUUAUUAGUGAACUAAUUAAUUGUGGAUUUGAUUUAUUUAUUUAACAAUCAGCUUUUAGCCAGAUUAGUUGAGCAACAAACACGUUGCUUGAAACUUUUGAGUCAGCUAUUACAGAGACCGACUCAAACCAGAACAAAUCUCACUCUAGUGAGAUGCGUAAAUUCAAUCUGCAGAAACUCAAACACACAAGCAAAAUACCUUUCCACACACAAAUCAUUCCCAGUCUUCCUUAGCAGUUCACAUCGAAGAAGGUAGUAUCCCUUUUCAUACAAUACAACUCAAUAUUUGUGUUAAAGCAACAACCAUGUAUAGUAAUGAACAAUAACUAUAAACAUAUCUCUAAUUCUAAUUUUACAAACGCAGUCUCAAUUCCUCAAUAAGCGGAAACAAACUUAUAACAUAUAACAAUCGGAUCUUGAGCAGUAGCCACUCCGACAGACACCCUGAAUCAUGGAUUCCUGAAAUAGAAAAAUUAGGGAUUGAUUAGUUUGAGGUAUUAGAACUGAAAUAGGUUAUUGAAAUAGAAAAUAAAGAAAAAGAGAAAAGAAGAAGGAAAAUAAUAAGAACAGGGGAAAGGAUGGCAGCAGCAGCAGCAACCGCGAGCCACCGCGACGGAGGCGCGACUGGCGGCAGCGACCGCCGGCACUGCCCACGCCACGGCGGUCCGCGGUGGCCGCCAGUAGCACAGAGAGUUUGAGCGAGAGAGAGUAAGACAAAAACAGAGAGACACGGACAUGAGAGAAAGUAGAGCGAGAUAGAGGCAGGGAGAGAAGAGCAGAGCGGCGGCGACCGCCGGCGCUGCAUGCGCCGCUGCAAGCAAAGGGGCAGAGAGAGAGAUCGAGAUUAAGAGCGCAGAGAAGGCAGAGAGAGAGAUCGAGGGACAGAGAGAAAAAGAGGGAGAAAGAGAAGCUUACCUGAGAUGGAGUAGGUGGCAGUGCGACGGGGACAACGGUGGCAGUGAAACUCGCCGGUUGACUGGAGUUGAAGGGGGGAAAAUUAGAAACCCUAGGUUGAUUUUGAAUUAAGAAUUGGGGGAAAGGGAAGGAAAGGAAGAAGAAGGGGAGAGAGACGCCGGCCUCGCCGCGCCGGAGGCGGCGAGGACUGGCGACGUCGCCGGGCGAGAGGGAGAGGGAAAGUGAGAGACGCAGGUGAGAGAACAGAGAGAAAUGGAGUCUGCGUAAAAAGAAAAAGAGGAAGAAGAGAGAUGUUGACUUU
rnacentral:lncRNA from 1 species